rnacentral:rRNA from 1 species
UACGGAGGGUGCGAGCGUUAAUCGGAAUUACUGGGCGUAAAGCGCGCGUAGGCGGCUUCGUCAGUCAGAUGUGAAAGCCCCCGGGCUCAACUGGGAACUGCAUUUGAUACUGCGGAGCUAGAGUAUGGUAGAGGAUAGUGGAAUUCCAGGUGUAGCGGUGAAAUGCGUAGAUAUCUGGAGGAACAUCAGUGGCGAAGGCGACUGUCUGGACCAAUACUGACGCUGAGGUGCGAAAAGCGUGGGGGAGCAAAACAGGAUUAGAUACCCCCCGGUAGUCC